rnacentral:rRNA from 1 species
GAGUUUGAUCCUGGCUCAGGAUGAACGCUGGCGGUCUGCUUAACACAUGCAAGUCGAACGGGAUCCUUCGGGAUUUAGUGGCGGACGGGUGAGUAACGCGUGAGAAUCUGCCCUUAGGUUGGGGACAACAGUUGGAAACGACUGCUAAUACCCAAUGUGCCGAGAGGUGAAAGGUUAACUGCCUGGGGAUGAGCUCGCGUCUGAUUAGCUAGUUGGAGUGGUAACGGCACACCAAGGCGACGAUCAGUAGCUGGUCUGAGAGGAUGAUCAGCCACACUGGGACUGAGACACGGCCCAGACUCCUACGGGAGGCAGCAGUGGGGAAUUUUCCGCAAUGGGCGAAAGCCUGACGGAGCAAGACCGCGUGAGGGAGGAAGGCCUAUUGGUUGUAAACCUCUUUUGAUAGGGAAGAACACAAUGACGGUACCUAUCGAAUCAGCAUCGGCUAACUCCGUGCCAGCAGCCGCGGUAAUACGGAGGAUGCAAGCGUUAUCCGGGUUUAUUGGGCGUAAAGCGUCCGUAGGUGGCAAACCAAGUCAGUUGUUAAAGCGUAGAGCUUAACUCUAUAAGGGCAAUUGAAACUGGUUAGCUAGAGUGCGAUAGGGGCAAGGGGAAUUCCCAGUGCAGCGGUGAAAUGCGUAGAUAUUGGGAAGAACAUCGGUGGCGAAGGCGCCUUGCUGGGUCUGCACUGACACUGAGGGACGAAAGCUAGGGGAGCGAAAGGGAUUAGAUACCCCUGUAGUCCUAGCCGUAAACGAU